GACGAACGCUGGCGGCGUGCCUAAUACAUGCAAGUAGAACGCUGAAGGAGGAGCUUGCUCCUCCGGAUGAGUUGCGAACGGGUGAGUAACGCGUAGGUAACCUGCCUGGUAGCGGGGGAUAACUAUUGGAAACGAUAGCUAAUACCGCAUAAGAGUAGAUGUCGCAUGACAUUUGCUUAAAAGGUGCAACUGCACCACUACCAGAUGGACCUGCGUUGUAUUAGCUAGUUGGUGAGGUAACGGCUCACCAAGGCAACGAUACAUAGCCGACCUGAGAGGGUGCUCGGCCACACUGGGACUGAGACACGGCCCAGACUCCUACGGGAGGCAGCAGUAGGGAAUCUUCGGCAAUGGAAGGAAGUCUGACCGAGCAACGCCGCGUGAGUGCAGAAGGUUUUCGGAUCGUAAAGCUCUGUUGUAAGAGAAGAACGAGUGUGAGAGUGGAAAGUUCACACUGUGACGGUAUCUGAACAGAAAGGGACGGCUAACUACGUG
rnacentral:rRNA from 1 species